rnacentral:misc_RNA from 1 species
UGAAAUGCGAUAAGUAAUGUGAAUUGCAGAAUCUCGUGAAUCAUCGAAUCUUUGAACGCACAUUGCGCCCUAUGGUAUUCCGUAGGGCAUGCCUGUCUGAGCGUCAGCUCCCCCCCCCCCCAUCUCAAGCAUCUUUUUUCUUAAGAAGCUUGGAUUACUUUGGAGAAGUAGUUUUUUCUUUUAUAGAAAAAAACUACUCUUCAGAAAUUCAUAGGCAGUAUGGCUCUACCUAGGCCAGAUGUAAUAAAUUAUUUACAAUCAUCUGUUUAGGGAGUUUUUGUACUUGCCUUAACCCACAGAUUCUAAUCUUGGGUGACCUCAGAUCAGGUAGGGAUACCCGCUGAACUUAAGC